GAUGAACGCUGGCGACGUGCCUAAUACAUGCAAGUAGAACGCUGAAGCUUGGUGCUUGCACCGAGCGGAUGAGUUGCGAACGGGUGAGUAACGCGUAGGUAACCUGCCUCUUAGCGGGGGAUAACUAUUGGAAACGAUAGCUAAUACCGCAUAAAAGUCGAUAUCGCAUGAUAUUGAUUUGAAAGGUGCAAUUGCAUCACUAAGAGAUGGACCUGCGUUGUAUUAGCUAGUUGGUGAGGUAACGGCUCACCAAGGCGACGAUACAUAGCCGACCUGAGAGGGUGAUCGGCCACACUGGGACUGAGACACGGCCCAGACUCCUACGGGAGGCAGCAGUAGGGAAUCUUCGGCAAUGGGGGCAACCCUGACCGAGCAACGCCGCAUGAGUGAAGAAGGUUUUCGGAUCGUAAAGCUCUGUUGUAAGAGAAGAACGAGUGUGAGAGUGGAAAGUUCACACUGUGACGGUAACUGACCAGAAAGGGACGGCUAACUACGUG
rnacentral:rRNA from 1 species